UACAAUAGUCCAGUCUAGAGGUCAUGAAUGCAUGAACUAGCUUUUCUGCAUCAGAAACAGGUAACAAUGUUUCGUAGUUUGGCAAUGUUUCUAAAAUGGAAGAAUGCUGUUUUUGUAAAAUUGGAAAUUUUAGAGUAAAGUACUUCAAGUCUUAAGAUUAUAUUUAAAAAGAAAUGUACUUGCAGAUAAUAUAAAUGACAUUAAAGGCCACUUAAGUGUACUCAGAGAGAGUACACUUUCAUGACUGUUUCUUAAAAGAGAGCCAAAAACACUCUAUUUGUAGCAUAUGACAUUGAAUGCAGCACAACCUAUCAGACACAUCUUAUCACAUAUAAUAACCAACAAAGCACAAAAACUCUUUGUCCUACUGAAUCACAAAAUUCUGUUGAUAUAAUGAUGAUGAUAUAAUGAUAAUAAUGGAUGUUAUGUCUUUCACUGACUGUUAUGGCUUUGUCUUUCACUGACUGUCAAUUAAUUACCAGUGUAUGCUGGGUAAAAUUUCCCCUUCAGGUAGCACGAUCUGUAAAAAGUAUUUCAGAUAUUCAUAGAUAUCAUGUGACGUCACACUGUGGUGCAUUGGUCUAUCUGCUUUGCUGUGGGCUGUGAUAACAGCAAAUCACAAUGGAUUAUUUACCAAGAGAUAUGGAUGUAUAGGAUCAUUUUGGUUAAAUAUUUCGAGUAAGAAUCAAUGUACAUUUACAUUUUAGUAUUGUACUUAGCAGGCGCUCAUCAGCUCAGGAUCUAGCAAAAAGUUAAAUUCACGCGUGAGAGUGCAGCAAACGCGGCUUUCUUGCUUUGCCCAAAAACUUUCUUUGUGCUUACCACCUAAAGCUAAUACAUGAACGAGAUGUUUUUGAUCUUUAAUCUAAGUACAGUUUUGUGAGCUAGAGUGUUUACGCUGCACUAAACUUUGACGAGCAACACUCCGAUCCACAAACAAACAGAUGAUGAAGAAGAGGAGGAGGAUGACGGUCCAGCGUAUACAAGGAAAAAGAAGAUCGAUGUUGGCCAUCAUCCUUAUUAUACUUCUCUGACUGGACUAGAGCCAACGAGAAAGUACAGAAAUUAAAGCUCCCAAGCAAAGAACCCACCGGAUAAAGAUGGAAAAAAAAUGUUUUGGUGGGAAGACGUUACACAAUGACCACAACUCCUGAUAAAAGAUUUGGAAAAUGAGCAACAACCAAGGAACAGUAGUCACUGAUUCACUCAAAAAUGAUCCAUAG